CCUACGGGAGACAGCAGUGAGGAAUAUUGGUCAAUGGGCGCGAGCCUGAACCAGCCAAGUAGCGUGAAGGAUGACUGCCCUACGGGUUGUAAACUUCUUUUAUAAAGGAAUAAAACGCGGCACGUGUGCCUUUUUGCAUGUACUUCAUGAAUAAGGAUCGACUAACUCCGUGCCAGCAGCCGCGGUAAUACGGAGCAUCCGAGCGUUAUCCGGCUUUAUUGUGUUUAAAGGGAGCGUAGAUGGGUUGUUAAGUCAGUUGUGAAAGUUUGCGGCUCAACCGUAAAAUUGCAAUUGAUACUGGCAGUCUGGAGUACAGUUGAGGUAGGCGGAAUUCGUGGUGUAGCGGUGAAAUGCUUAGAUAUCACGAAGAACCCCGAUUGCGAAGGCAGCUUACUAAACUGUGACUGACAUUGCUGCUCGAAAGUGUGGGUAUCAAACAGGAUUAGAUACCCCUGUAGUC
rnacentral:rRNA from 1 species